rnacentral:rRNA from 1 species
AUUGAACGCUGGCGGCAUGCUUUACACAUGCAAGUCGAACGGUAACAGGCCGCAAGGUGCUGACGAGUGGCGAACGGGUGAGUAAUGCAUCGGAACGUGCCCAGUCGUGGGGGAUAACUACUCGAAAGAGUAGCUAAUACCGCAUACGAUCUAUGGAUGAAAGCGGGGGACCGUAAGGCCUCGCGCGAUUGGAGCGGCCGAUGUCAGAUUAGGUAGUUGGUGGGGUAAAGGCUCACCAAGCCAACGAUCUGUAGCUGGUCUGAGAGGACGACCAGCCACACUGGGACUGAGACACGGCCCAGACUCCUACGGGAGGCAGCAGUGGGGAAUUUUGGACAAUGGGCGCAAGCCUGAUCCAGCAAUGCCGCGUGCAGGAAGAAGGCCUUCGGGUCGUAAACUGCUUUUGUACGGAACGAAACGGCUCUGGUUAAUACCCGGGGCUAAUGACGGUACCGUAAGAAUAAGCACCGGCUAACUACGCG